GUCCUCUCAGGUUGGCACCUGGAGAGUUUCCACUACUCUAUCAGUCUCAGCUAUGAGAGGGAAAGUCUAGCAGAGGCCUAUCCAUUCUGUUCUUAGCUUGGCCAGUGGCUAGUGGGUGGAAGGCAAUCUGCUACAAGU